GACACUAUAGCCAAGUGGUUAAGGCGACAGAUUAGAAUCCUUGUGCAUACAGCAGUCCAUAAAAUCUGUUUCCCUCUGGGAGCGUAGGUUCGAACCCUACUGGUGUCG